GGACCGGUCUCUGGGGGACCGGUCUCUCAGGCAGGGACCGGUUCCCGAGAGCUAGUUUCUUAGGACUUAGCCGAUUUUUCGGCUGUCUCAUUUCAUACGCGUUCGGGGACCGGUCUCUCCCACCAGGGACCGGUCCCCGAGAGCUCAAAACUGCAGAAUGCAGAUUUUGAUUCUAUAGCUCUCGAAAACCUCCCGUAACUCGCUUUUA
rnacentral:lncRNA from 1 species